UACGGGGGGGGCAAGCGUUGUUCGGAAUUACUGGGCGUAAAGGGCUCGUAGGCGGCCAACUAAGUCAGACGUGAAAUCCCUCGGCUUAACCGGGGAACUGCGCUUGAUACUGGAUGGCUUGAGAUUGGGAGAGGGAUGCGGAAUUCCAGGUGUAGCGGUGAAAUGCGUAGAUAUCUGGAGGAACACCGGUGGCGAAGGCGGCAUCCUGGACCAACACUGACGCUGAGGAGCGAAAGCCAGGGAGCAAACGGG
rnacentral:rRNA from 1 species